CCACAAUGCGGUUAUGCCUCUAAGUCAUGCAUCGACACGUGGGAGAUAUAGCCGCAUCGUGGGCGUUACAGCAAGGCUGUAAGGCGGAGCUAAUCCGGAAAGAUUACCUUAGUUCGGAUUGUUCUUUGCAACUCGGGAACAUGAAGUUGAAAUCACUAGUAAUCGCGGAUCAGCAAGCCGCGGUGAAUAUGUACC
rnacentral:rRNA from 1 species